CCCGGAAGGACUCAGGUGGAUGCGGAAGGGAGGGAGUGGAAGGGGAAGAAAGAGGAGGUGAGUCUUUACGGGGAGAGGAAGGAGGAGAGAUAACAAGAGAGGGGAUUAAAGGAGGAGGGGUAACAAGAGAAGGAAUUAAGGAAAGAAAGAGGUCAGUGAUAAGGAGAGGAGAAAGGGAGAAGGAAAGGGGGAAGAACCAGUCAGUGGAGAGGUAAUUGGGGGUGGAACCAGAAGAGAGGGAGGCGGGCCAUGGAGGAGGGCCUUUAGAGGCUAGGCAGUAGGAAGGGGGCAAGGAGGGCUGACAGAGGGGACCCCUUGGUGGGAAAUGACUCCCACACCUUGGACCCUGGAGAAUAGAUCGAAGUGGCAAGAGCCCAGGGGCACGACUGCGGUCCAGUGAAAGAGGACACACCCUUACUUUCUAAUAUGAUUGGUUUUUAGGACAUAUAGCUUUUAUCUACAUGGAAAGGAAAUGUGAGAAAAGAAAGAAAGAAGGGACUAAGGAUCCAUAUAGCACCUACUUUGUACCAGAAUUGGUGACUCUUAGUAUCAAAGCAUUCACAUUGUAUAUGUUGCCCCAGGAUUUGUUGAAAUUUUUUAUCAGUUUGUGG
rnacentral:lncRNA from 1 species